rnacentral:rRNA from 1 species
UACGUAGGGGGCAAGCGUUAUCCGGAUUUACUGGGUGUAAAGGGGGCGCAGACGGCAGCGCAAGCCAGGAGUGAAAGCCCGGGGCCCAACCCCGGGACUGCUCUUGGAACUGCGCGGCUGGAGUGCAGGAGAGGCAGGCGGAAUUCCUGGUGUAGCGGUGAAAUGCGUAGAUAUCAGGAGGAACACCGGUGGCGAAGGCGGCCUGCUGGACUGCGACUGACGUUGAGGCCCGAAAGCGUGGGGAGCAAACAGG